rnacentral:misc_RNA from 1 species
ACCGACAAGAGACACAGACCUCUGCUUGCUGUCCGGUUUCUCUCAGCUUCAUCCACACGUGUACGCACGAGAGGCUCUCCUGUGCGGAGGUGCACCGCACGGCUCUUUCCCCCUCAUUCCCCAUUGCCGCCCGUGCCUACGCAGACCAUCCCGCACGGGCCUGGAAAAAAGAUAGCGCUGCUUUUCAUCGCGGCGCCCUUCGCCCCUUCUCACACCGGACGAGGUCGCAGCCAUGUCAAACUUUUCCCCUGUCAAGUGCGAGAUGGACGGCCUCUCGCCAGCGGCAGGCACCGACGGCAACCCUCUCGCUCAGCCCUUCUGGCAGUCCUCUCGCUCUAGCCUGCCCACCUUUGACGUGCACGGACGAGGUACCGCUCGCGGCCGUUUACAGAACCCGGCGCACAUAGACAGCAUCCACCGCAGUGAGGGAAGCCGUGUGGGUCAAGACACGUGCCGCUACAUGCAGGCUGCCGCGGCCAGCAGUCAGAAAGCGGUGCACCAGCUGCUGAGUCGCCUGCAGACGUACAGAAGCUUUAAGCCCUUUCUUUCCCCCCCGGCGCCGUACAGGGACAACUUCUUCACGCAUGACCGCGGCUUCAGCAGCUUUAGCGGACCCUCGCACGGCAGAGGGUCCACUGCGACGGUGAGCAGGGACCAGCUCUGGCAGAUGGUGGACGGUAUCCUCGACACAUCGGUGGCGCAGCUGCUUCAGCACAACGCCGAGGGCCACUUCAUCAUGACGCUGCAGUCGGCGCUCGGGUUGGAAGCGCCGAUCUCAACGGCGAAGAGCGGUACCGUCAUCGAGAGCCGCAAAGCAGCGACGCCCGCGAUCAACGGCGGGGCGACCGAGUUGGCAAGCGAGGAGCGCACGCCUGCCGGUGGCCCUCGCCAGCCACUGCCGCCCGCCUUGCAGAAAACUGCCGUCAUGUCAUCCUUCGCGCCAGCGAGCGCGUUGGCCAAUCGCUGGGCCUUGGACCACCCUUCUGCGACAACUGCCGCGGUAGAAGAGCAGCACCAUGCGUGGGCCACAUUUGACCAGCAGCGACAGCGCACAAGUCGUUGCUUCUACCUCCAGGCUAUGCAGGAGCAGCUGGAUGUUCUGCAGGCGGAGCAGGCGAGGGAUGCCGCUGACACGACGCACUCGCCCCCAAACCGCGGCGACGACUCACACCGCUACCUCCUGGACGUGCACAGCUCCAGUGACUCAGAGGAUGCGGUGACCAAAGCCGAGGAGGAAAAGCAGCAGGCGCUGUGGCGUACCUUCCAAGAUGGACCCGUGCUGGCGGUGGGGGCUUCCGAGUCGCCUCGUGAAACAGCACUGGGCGUCCCUGGGAUUGUGAGCGACUACUUGGAGAGCACUGAUCUGCAAGACUGGCUACACUGCUCAUGGGCGCACCGCACUCACCGUCAUGAGAGCGCCGCUCUGCGUAUACAGUGCGCUUAUCGCGUGUACCGGGCACGGUGUAAGGUGCGAGAGAUGCGAUACGAACGACGGCAGGCCUUUUUGGCUAGCCUCAGCGCCGAACGCAAGGCUCGGCAGGUGUGGGACCUAGCGUUGCAGGUGCAGAAAGACACGACAACGACGACGACCAGUGGUACCGACAGCACAUUGCGGGCGCUGCAGUUUUUCAUCAACAAGGUGAACGCCGUUGUGGCGAAGCACCGUGCACGCAAACAGUAUCAGCAGAAGCAGGAUGCUGAGAUACGCAGGUACGCUGCUACACGCAUACAGGCCGUGUAUCGAGGGCACCGGACACGUGUCUUCGUCACGGAGCUGCGGCAUCCCGAGAUAGUGGCGCUUCGGAAGCAGUUGCAGCAGGAAAACUGUGCGAAGCUGAUCCAGACGUGCUGGCGACGCUACGCCGCACAACGCCACUGGCGGCUCGCGCGGCAUGCGGCGUGUGUGCUGCAGAGCAUGUAUCGAUGCCACGCAGCACGACGAAUGCUGGCGGAGCGGCGUUACCAACGGAACCUGGAGGCGUCAGCGGAGCUGACGAAGUUCGGUGUGCAGCGCAUUGAACGGUGGUACGCGUCGGUCCUCGCUGCGCGUAACGCUAUCGGCCGCGCACAUGUGGCGGAGCUGCUCGUGCUGCAGCGGGUGUGUCGUGGCUAUCAGGGCAGGCAUGGCGUUCAAGAGGAGAAGCGGCUGUCACGCCUCCGAUCUGCUGUGCGCACCAUCGAGCAGCGUCGCUGGCGCGUAAUGGAGGCUCGAGAGGCGAUUGAAAGGCGGGCGGCUCUGAGCACAGCCAACGCGGCCAAGCGUAUUGCGUCGAUGCGCGACGAUGCCGCUGUUACGAUCCAACGUGCAUGGAGACGAAGGUGUGUAUGGCAUGUCUGCUAGCGCGUGCACACAGGCAAGCAACAAUGGAUUGGGCAGGGAAGUGAAGGGAAGGUUAUGGUUUCUCUCUUCUCUCCACUCGGUGUGCGCGUAUGUGCGUGCGCGUGUGCCCAUCUCCACUCCUUGUGCAACCCUUUCCGCUUGCCCCCCUCUUCUCCGUCUCUUCCUGACGCUCUCACCUCCGCCGUAGAAACCCGCUGCCGCAACCCCCCCCCCCCCCCCCCCCACACACACACACACAUUGAAUCUUAUCCCUAACCUUGAUGUAUGCUAUUCCUCAGCAGCCAUGAUGGACGGCUGCCUCCUUUAUUCUCCCGCCACGGCUGCGUGCGUUUCACUUCCGCUGUUUCAGGCCGCGCCGGUGUUCGAUUGUGCUUUAGCCACCCUUCUUCUUCCGCUGUUCCGUCGACGGCGAUGUCGCUGAGGAGGAGUUGCCUGUGCUUGCGCAGGUCGUGUUUCUGUGUGCUUCACCUGUCGCCUCUCUCGGGAGCGUAUCCGUGAAGGGGUGACUGCGUGAUGUCCGCAUAUAUCCUCUCCGCCCUCCCCUCUUUUCCUAUUUUGGAACUCUAGUGCAGACUUUGGAGGGAUGAGCGUAUGCAGUGCCGUCGAAUUGGCGAGUCGCGCUGGCGUGAGCGCAACAAACACGCAGCCAAUGAAGACUGCGGAGAGAG